UACGUAGGGGGCAAGCGUUGUCCGGAAUCAUUGGGCGUAAAGCGCGCGUAGGCGGCCCGGUAAGUCCGCUCUGAAAGUCCAGGGCUCAACCCUGGAAAGCCGGUGGAUACUGCAUGGCUAGAGUACGGAAGAGGCGAGUGGAAUUCCUGGUGUAGCGGUGGAAUGCGCAGAUAUCAGGAGGAACACCAAUAGCGAAGGCAGCUCGCUGGGACGUUACUGACACUGAGGCGCGAAAGCGUGGGGAGCGAACAGG
rnacentral:rRNA from 1 species